GAUGAACGCUGGCGGCGUGCCUAAUACAUGCAAGUCGAGCGAACAGACGAGGAGCUUGCUCCUCUGACGUUAGCGGCGGACGGGUGAGUAACACGUGGAUAACCUACCUAUAAGACUGGGAUAACUUCGGGAAACCGGAGCUAAUACCGGAUAAUAUAUUGAACCGCAUGGUUCAAUAGUGAAAGACGGUUUUGCUGUCACUUAUAGAUGGAUCCGCGCCGCAUUAGCUAGUUGGUAAGGUAACGGCUUACCAAGGCAACGAUGCGUAGCCGACCUGAGAGGGUGAUCCGCCAAACUGGAACUGAGACACGGUCCAGACUCCUACGGGAGGCAGCAGUAGGGAAUCUUCCGCAAUGGGCGAAAGCCUGAAGGAGCAACGCCGCGUGAGUGAUGAAGGUCUUCGGAUCGUAAAACUCUGUUAUUAGGGAAGAACAAAUGUGUAAGUAACUAUGCACGUCUUGACGGUACCUAAUCAGAAAGCCACGGCUAACUACGUG
rnacentral:rRNA from 1 species